CCUCCCUCCGCUUCGCCUCCGCCAUGAGCAGCGUUGUGGAAAAGUACAACUUCCCCUUUGAUGAUGAUAUAGUCGUUUCUAUCAGAUCAUUGACUUACGUUACACCUGAAGGGCCAAAGGUUUGGGGAGAAGAACAACAGACAAGCACCACAAUUAUUGAUAGCUCUCAGAAUAUUGUACCAUUUCAGGAAAACACAG